rnacentral:rRNA from 1 species
GAUGAACGCUGGCGGCGUGCCUAAUACAUGCAAGUCGAGCGAACGGACGAGAAGCUUGCUUCUCUGAUGUUAGCGGCGGACGGGUGAGUAACACGUGGAUAACCUACCUAUAAGACUGGGAUAACUUCGGGAAACCGGAGCUAAUACCGGAUAAUAUUUUGAACCGCAUGGUUCAAAAGUGAAAGACGGUCUUGCUGUCACUUAUAGAUGGAUCCGCGCUGCAUUAGCUAGUUGGUAAGGUAACGGCUUACCAAGGCAACGAUGCGUAGCCGACCUGAGAGGGGGAUCGGCCACACUGGAACUGAGACACGGUCCAGACUCCUACGGGAGGCAGCAGUAGGGAAUCUUCCGCAAUAGGCGAAAGCCUGACGGAGCAACGCCGCGUGAGUGAUGAAGGUCUUCGGAUCGUAAAACUCUGUUAUUAGGGAAGAACAUAUGUGUAAGUAACUGUGCACAUCUUGACGGUACCUAAUCAGAAAGCCAUGGCUAACUACGUG